GCCUGGGUGGCUCAGUCGGUUGAGCGUCCGACUUCAGCUUGGGUCAUGAUCUCACAGUCUGUGAGUUCGAGCCCCACGUCAGGCU
rnacentral:tRNA from 1 species